UACGUAGGGGCCUAGCGUUGUCCGGAUUUAUUGGGCGUAAAGAGCUCGUAGGUGGUUUGUCGCGUUGUCCGUGAAAACUCACAGCUCAACUGUGGGCGUGCGGGCGAUACGGGCAGACUGGAGUACUGCAGGGGAGACUGGAAUUCCUGGUGUAGCGGUGGAAUGCGCAGAUAUCUGGAGGAACACCGGUGGCGAAGGCGGCGUUCUGGACUGCAACUGACACUGAGGAACGAAAGCCAGGGGAGCAAACGGG
rnacentral:rRNA from 1 species